UUUUUAUUUUUCCCUACUCUAACCUAACGCUAAGCCCUGCACGCGCGGCGCCGUUUCUUUCUUCUCUUCUCGCUCUCCCACCGCUCACCCACGCAGCGCCGCUCCUGAUCUCCCCAGCGUCGCUCCUCGAUCCCUUUCUCUUCCUUAAUCUGUUCUCGUCGUCGCCGCUUCUCUGCCCUCCUCCCUAAUCUGCUCUCAUCGUCGCGCUCCUCUCCCAUUCUCCUAUAAUCUGCUCUCGUCGUUGCCUCUGCUCUCCCUAAUUUGCUCUUGUCGUCGCCGCUCCUCUCACCCUACUUGUUCCGCCGCCGGCCUCCAUCGCGUGUCGCCACCACGAUUCCUCCACAUCACUGCCUCCACCGUGAUUCUGUCUUUCUCCUCCCUAACAAACAGUGGUGGGAGAAGAAAAAAAAAUCUGCUCGAGGAUCAUGGCUUGCAGCGGUGGCAGAAGAAAUAACUUGUUAAUCUUAUUAUUAUUUGUCUAACAAGUUGAUAUGUUAUCGAUGAAUAAUUCCCUUGCAGCCUUAUCAACAAAUUUCAAUACUGAUCCUGCACCUUCUCAAGGUUCUGCAAUUGUAUACAUAUUUACAUGUGCAUUCUAGAAUAUGUUUCCAUCUCAUUAAAUCAUAUAUGUUUGAAUGAUAUAUAAUGACAUGUAUUUCCUUUCCAUGAAUGUCCUAAUUGGCUGUUGACACCUUGCAAAGAGGAAACAAAGAGAUGAAUUGCUGUCAUUGUAAUGGUGACACUUGUAGAACAGUCCACCGAAGGUUGCUGGGUGAGCACCACCUCUUAACCAAUCCACUGAAGGUUGCUGGGUGAGCAUGGUGGGGAAGUAAUGGUGACACUUGUAGAACAGAUGUUCAAAUCAAUAACAUGAAAAAAAAAAGAGGAAACAACAUAAAAGUUUUGAAAAUAGGAGCUAAUGGAAAUAAAUUGUGAAAUGGAAUAAAUACCAUAGUAAAAAUGAUGAUUUAUUUUUCAGGAUUAUAUUGUUUAGUAACAGAAGGCUUAAUUGUUGUUGUAGUAGUAGUAGUAUAUUGUUUAGUAACAUACUCAAAUAAGUGCACAAGUCACAUGAUACAUUGUCGCUAUCUGAUAAAUUUCUAUAGACUGAUUAUCUGUCAGCAGGAUUAAAUUCGGAAGAAGACAAAUUUUAUUGGGAACUGCUAUAAAAUAAUUACCUAUUUAACUGCAUGUUUAUUUUUACUAUAUAUGUUUGAAUGAUAUGUAAUGAUAGGUAUUUCCUUUUCAAUUUUUAACUGUUGACCUUUUAUUAUUUAUAAUCUGUUACUAACUAUUAUUUGUAGUAGGAAUGACUCCUAAGCGUCGAACUAAGAGGAAAUCUCGUUUUAAACUUCAAGCUGAAAUAGAUAUGCAACCACCACAUAUAGGUACAAAUCACACAGAUCAUGAACAUGAUGGUCAAAACAUAGAAGGUACCUUGAAUAAUCACAGAGAUGUAGUUUCAAAUCAACUACAUGUUGAUGUGCAAGAUAAUGUCCCACUAGUUGAAAAUAUGUCUUCAGUUCCAGACCAGAAUGAUGAUAUGAACCAGGAAUAUAAUAAAGCUAGUGAAAAAGAACAUAAUGCUAAGAGGAAAAAAAGAGGUCCUACAUUUAUCAAAGAAAUUUGGGGCCGACCUAGCACACUUCCACGCAUUAAAAUUCUAUGUGAUGAUAUGGGACGUCCUAUAGGAACCAAAAAAAAAUAAAUUUACUGAUUUCUUGGGUUCUUUAGACAGAAAUGGUAAGUAUUGUCCAAUUGAUGUAGAAGAUUGGCAUAAAAUGCCAAUGGACAAAAAGAAAGAUAUGUUAAAUGUUAUAAAGGAUAAGUAUGACCUUCCUUUAGGAACAGAAAAUUGGACAUUAUGCUCAAUAGCAAAAAAAUGGAGAAAUUGGAAGUCUGAACUAAAAAGAAAGUACUAUGAUCCUGAGUUGUCAAUUCAAAUUCUUUUACAACAAAGAGAUGAAAGAGCUCAAGUAGAACAAUAUAUGAGACUUGUUGCUUUUUGGAACACAAGAAAAUCAAAGGAAAGAAGUGAAAAGAAUAAAAAUGCUAGAAAGCAAAGGAUAAUGAAUCAGACCACGGGAAGGACAUCUUUUUCUCAAGUGCAACAAACAUUGGAAAAAGAAAAGGGACAUCCUCCAACACGAGUUGAAUUAUUUCAUGUCUGUUUUACUCAUGCUAAUGGAAGUCCCUCAAGUAAUAUUGUAAAAGAAAGAUUGGCUGCAAUGAAAGAACUAGAAAAUCAACUUCCUGAAGAUUACAAUGAUCAAGUGAGCCAGAAUGAUAUAUUUGCUCAAAUCAUGGGACCAGAUAAACCCGGUCGAGUACGUAUGCUUGGUGAUGGAAUUAGCCCAUCUGAUUUAUGGGGAGUAGUUCCUAGUCGUGGCACAUGCAAUCGACUAGUUAUGGAACAGAAUGCAAAGUUAGAACAGAUGAAUGAACAAAUCAAAAAGCAAGGCCAACAUAUUACAAUGUUAGAAACAAAGAUUUCUGAACAAUCAAGCACAAAUCCUCUUUCAAAUUGUAAUAAUAGUCAACACACUUCAUCGAGUAGCAAUCCACAAGUUCUGUCUCGAUCAAAAGUUUAUUUGAUUCAACAAAAACUGUGGCAAAAGGAGUGCUCCUCAACAUGGAUCCAAAUAAUAUAGUAGGGAGACAAAAACUUGGACCAAAUUGGUGUGAAGUACAAGUACUAGUUGUCCUAGAACCCGAAGAAAAUUUAAUUAGACCUUAUGAUCUUUUACAAAGGUUUGAGGAUACACUUGGAGGACUGAUAGCUUGGCCUUGUCAUUUGUUGGCAAUAUGCGAAGAUUUCUAUUAGUGCAUAUAGAAUAAUACUUUACAUGUUUCUCAUUCGGUGACAGGUACUUGGAUUUUGCAUAUGAUGGUUGAAGAUGGUUGAAGAUGGUUGAUAGUAAAUUAGUUGCUUUUUAUUUUAUGACUUUGUUAGUUUUAAAACUCAAUGAUUUUUAGUAUUUAGUUAGCAUUAGAUUUAAUACUUUUACAUUAGUAAUGCAUUUGUACUUUUGUGAUGAUGGAUGAAUUAUGAUGAUAUGGCGAAUGAAUUGGAUAUUUUGGAUAUAAAACGUUUCUAUUCUUAUUGUGA